CGCAAGAUCCAGAUGCAUCCAGCAAGCUCGGAGAGACACAUGCGUCAAUAGUCCUGAUGGACUCCAACUAAAUAAGAGGACCUCUAGCACCCAGCUGAACAGAGCGGGUCGGCGCUGCUCCUGUGCUGAUACCGAAGAAAGCCUAUUCUUACCGUUGUUCUCAAGCCUUGACUGCCUUGAGAAAGCUCCUUAUCUUCAGUUUGCUGAGAGCCUUACAAUGAAUGCUGCUGAACCCCAGCCAGAUGUUUUCAGCAUCUGCCUAAGAUAACAAAUGACAACGACUGUGUUCAGCAGUAAUGAAACCUGUAUCUGGUUCUCCGUAUGUCUCUCAGCAUCUCCAUGGGGGCAGAAGCAAGAGCUGUAAAGAGAGGAGCUGAGGCAGAACCAAGACUCAGGACGU